AACGAACGCUGGCGGCAUGCCUAACACAUGCAAGUCGAACGAGACCUUCGGGUCUAGUGGCGCACGGGUGCGUAACGCGUGGGAACCUGCCCUUAGGUUCGGAAUAACUCCCCGAAAGGGGUGCUAAUACCGGAUAAUGUCUUCGGACCAAAGAUUUAUCGCCUUUGGAUGGGCCCGCGUUGGAUUAGCUAGUUGGUAGGGUAAAAGCCUACCAAGGCGACGAUCCAUAGCUGGUCUGAGAGGAUGAUCAGCCACACUGGGACUGAGACACGGCCCAGACUUCUUCGGGAGGGCACAGGGGGGGAAAUUUGACAAAUGGGCAAAGGCCUGGACCCUCAUUCCCGGGUGGAUGUUAAAGCCGUUGGGAUUGAAAGCUCUUUUACCCGGGAUGAUAAUGACAGUACCGGGAGAAUAAGCUCCGGCUAGCUCCGUG
rnacentral:rRNA from 1 species